AUCAACUUGCGUUUGUUCAUGCUGAAAACAAGAAAAUGCAGAGGAAAAAAUGAAUAAAUACGUACUAUGAGAAACAAUAGCAUCUCACAUAUUCCACGUCUGCUCUUCCUUACACAGCUUGACAGAGGACGCAGACUCAGGAUCAAGUAGCAUAAUGCAAUGCAGUAGUCAGUUUUUGUAAAAGUUUUGCUAGAAAGCAAGUGAAGCACCACAUCUUAAGUGUAAACAUGUUGUCACAUUACACAAAGGCACACUUUGUAACUGGUAUCAUUAUGUUUUUGGCGCUUAAUGUCACUUUGUUCAGACAGAUAUUUUUGUGUAAGAAAAUAAGUUUUAUGCAUCUUCUUUAGAUUUUACAGUAAAGACUAAGUUGUACUCUACCACUACUCCAGGUGUCACAGCUUUAUGAAAUCCUAGAGGGUAUUACUGGGGGAAGUUGCAGUAUAAUUUUGCUUGAUGAAAGUGUGCUUUAGUCUAAACAUCUUUUUGUUGAUUACCAUAUUAAUAUGGAACUGUUUUCACCAACUGUGAUGUUUGUCUGCAGCUGGACCCAAGCAUAUUUGAAAGCUUGCAGAAAGAACGAGUGGAAACAGGCGAUGUUAUUUAUAUUGAAGCAAACAGUGGAGCCGUCAAGAGGCAAGGCAGGUGUGAUACCUAUGCUACGGAAUUUGACCUUGAAGCUGAAGAGUAUGUUCCUUUACCAAAGGGUGAUGUGCACAAGAAAAAAGAAAUUAUUCAGGAUGUUACUCUGCAUGACUUGGAUGUGGCCAAUGCUCGACCUCAGGUAUCUAAUUACAUGGAUGAAGUCUUUACAGAAAAAAUAUUGUACAUAGUUCUGGUGGUUUCUAGAAUAAUCAAGAAGAUAAGGAAAACUUUAAGAUGUUCUAAAGUACCCUCAAAGACACUGCCACAGGAAAAACUUGGAGGUAUCUCAAAGGCCAUUCUAACUCUGCUCUCUGCAAGGAGGGCCUGCUGCAGGGUGGGCUGCUCCUCUUGACCAAAGAAAGAGGUCAUCGAGUCAUUAAAGCUGGAAAAGACUUCUUGUAACAAUCAGAAAGAUCAAGGCAG
rnacentral:lncRNA from 1 species